UACGUAGGGGGCGAGCGUUGUCCGAAGUUACUGGGCGUAAAGCGCGCGUAGGCGGUUCUUUAAGUUUGGGGUGAAAGGUUCAGUGCUCAACGCGAACAGUGCCCUGGAGACUGGAGAACUUGAGUGUGGGAGGGGGCAGUGGAAUUCCUGGUGUAGCGGUGAAAUGCGUAGAUAUCAGGAGGAACACCGGUGGCGAAGGCGGCUGCCUGGCCUAACACUGACGCUGAGGUGCGAAAGCGUGGGGAGCGAACGGG
rnacentral:rRNA from 1 species